rnacentral:rRNA from 1 species
AUUGAACGCUGGCGGCAUGCCUUACACAUGCAAGUCGAACGGUAACAGGUCUUCGGAUGCUGACGAGUGGCGAGCGGGUGAGUAAUACAUCGGAACGUGCCUAGUAGUGGGGGAUGACUACUCGAAAGAGUGGCUAAUACCGCAUGAGAUCUACGGAUGAAAGCAGGGGAUCGCAAGACCUUGUGCUACUAGAGCGGCCGAUGGCAGAUUAGGUAGUUGGUGGGAUAAAAGCUUACCAAGCCGACGAUCUGUAGCUGGCCUGAGAGGACGAUCAGCCACACUGGGACUGAGACACGGCCCAGACUCCUACGGGAGGCAGCAGUGGGGAAUUUUGGACAAUGGGCGAAAGCCUGAUCCAGCAAUGCCGCGUGCAGGAUGAAGGCCUUCGGGUUGUAAACUGCUUUUGUACGGAACGAAAAGCCCCGGGUUAAUACCCUGGGGUCAUGACGGUACCGUAAGAAUAAGCACCGGCUAACUACGUGCCAGCCGCCGCGGUAA